rnacentral:rRNA from 1 species
AUUGAACGCUGGCGGCAGGCCUAACACAUGCAAGUCGAACGGAGUGGCGGACGGGUGCGUAAUGCCUCGUAAUCUGCCUGGUAGUGGGGGAUUUCGUCCGGAAACGGGCGCUAAUACCGCAUACUAUCAUAUGAGCCUAGGUCGGAUUAGCUAGUUGGUGGGGGAAAGGCCUACCAAGGCGACGAGCCGUAACUGGUCUGAGAGGCUGAUCAGUCACACUGGAACUGAGACACGGUCCAGACUCCUACGGGAGGCAGAAUUGGGGAAUAUUGGACGAUGGGCGAAAGCCUGAGCCAGCCAUGCCGCGUGUGUGAAGAAGGUCUUCGGAUUGGAAAGCACUUUAAGUUGGGAGGCGUUACCAACAGAAGAAGCACCGGCUAACUUCGUGCCAGCAGCCGCGGUAAUAC